AUGUGAUAGCAAGGGCUGGGCAAGACCGGUGCCAGCCGCCGCGGUAACACCGGCAGCCCGAGUGGUGAUCACUAUUAUUGGGUCUAAAGGGUCCGUAGCCGGUUUAAUCAGUCUUCUGGGAAAUCUAAUCGCUUAACUAUUAGGCUUCCAGGGGAUACUGUUAGACUUGGGACCGGGAGAGGUAAGAGGUACUGCAGGGGUAGGAGUGAAAUCUUGUAAUCCCUGUGAGACCACCAGUGGCGAAGGCGUCUUACCAGAACGGGUCCGACGGUGAGGGACGAAAGCUGGGGGCACGAACCGGAUUAGAUACCCGGGUAGCCCCAGCUGUAAACGAUGCUCGUUAGGUGUCAGGAACGGUGCGACUGUUUCUGGUGCCGAAGGGAAGCCGUGAAACGAGCCACCUGGGAAGUACGGCCGCAAGGCUGAAACUUAAAGGAAUUGGCGGGGGAGCACUACAACGGGUGGAGCCUGCGGUUUAAUUGGACUCAACGCCGGAAAACUCACCGGGGGCGACAGCAAUAUGUAGGUCAGGUUAAAGGUCUUACCUGAAUCGCUGAGAGGAGGUGCAUGGCCGUCGUCAGUUCGUACUGUGAAGCAUCCUGUUAAGUCAGGCAACGAGCAAGACCCGUGCCCACUGUUACCAGCAUAUCCUUUAUGGAUGAUGGGGACUCUGUGGGGACCGCUGCUGCUAAAGCAGAGGAAGGUGCGGGCUACGGUAGGUCAGUAUGCCCCGAAUCUCCCGGGCUACACGCGGGCUACAAUGGUUGGGACAAUGGGUAUCUACUCCGAAAGGAGUUGGCAAUCUCUUAAACCCAAUCGUAGUUCGAAUUGAGGGCUGUAACUCGCCCUCAUGAAGCUGGAAUCCGUAGUAAUCGCGUUUCAACAUAGCGCGG
rnacentral:rRNA from 1 species